ACUCAAAUGAAUUGACGGGGGCCCGCACAAGCAGCGGAGCAUGUGGCUUAAUUCGACGCAACGCGAAGAACCUUACCAAGGCUUGACAUACACCGGAAACGUCUGGAGACAGGCGCCCCCUUGUGGUCGGUGUACAGGUGGUGCAUGGCUGUCGUCAGCUCGUGUCGUGAGAUGUUGGGUUAAGUCCCGCAACGAGCGCAACCCUUGUUCUGUGUUGCCAGCAUGCCCUUCGGGGUGAUGGGGACUCACAGGAGACUGCCGGGGUCAACUCGGAGGAAGGUGGGGACGACGUCAAGUCAUCAUGCCCCUUAUGUCUUGGGCUGCACACGUGCUACAAUGGCCGGUACAAUGAGCUGCGAUACCGCGAGGUGGAGCGAAUCUCAAAAAGCCGGUCUCAGUUCGGAUUGGGGUCUGCAACUCGACCCCAUGAAGUCGGAGUUGCUAGUAAUCGCAGAUCAGCAUUGCUGCGGUGAAUACGUUCCCGGGCCUUGUACACACCGCCCGU
rnacentral:rRNA from 1 species